CCGGUCUCAGUUCGGAUUGGGGUCUGCAACUCGACCCCAUGAAGUUGGAGUUGCUAGUAAUCGCAGAUCAGCAUUGCUGCGGUGAAUACGUUCCCGGGCCUUGUACACACCGCCCGUCACGUCACGAAAGUCGGUAACACCCGAAGCCGGUGGCCCAACCCUUGUGGAGGGAGCCGUCGAAGGUGGGACUGGCGAUUGGGACGAAGUCGUAACAAGGUAGCCGUACCGGAAGGUGCGGCUGGAUCACCUCCUUUCUAA
rnacentral:rRNA from 1 species